AUGUCCAUUAAAAUGUUUGCAUGGUUGGUGAUUAUGGAUAGAGUCAACACCAAAUACAUGAUCCAGAGAAGACAUUCGAGGAUUGAGGAUGGCCCUAAAUGUGUUCGUUGCAGAGCUGGCUCCCUGGAAGACAGAAAUCAUCUGUUCUUUCAAUGUAACUUCAGUAGUAGAGUUUGGAACUUCCUCCAAAUUUGUUGGUCUUCUAGUUCUGAUAUGGUGGACAUUGCUGUUCAGGCCAGAGAGGAGUUUGCUAAAGCUUUCUUUGCUGAAGUGGUCUUCUUAGCAUGGUGGAAUAUCUAG
rnacentral:rRNA from 1 species